rnacentral:lncRNA from 1 species
AUUUUUAGUAGAGACGGGGUUUCUCCAUGUUGGUCAGGCUGGUCUCGAACUCCCAACCUCCGGUGACCCGCUCGCUUCGGCCUCCCAAAGUGCUGGGAUUACAGGCCUGAGAGCCACCGCACCCGGCCGGACCUGGUUCAUUUUAAAAUUGUUGUCUUAAUCUUAGUUGCUUAACUGCUUGCAAUUCUGUGUGUUGGCUGGUGGUUCCUCUGUGGGCUUCCCCUGGGCUUGUGCAUGCGGCUGCUUCUGGCUUUCAGCUGUGCUGGCUGGGCUAAGGUGGCCUCAUUCAUGGUGACAUGGGAUUCAGAUGGGAUCCAGAUGGGAUUCAGAUAGCAGCUGAUUGUUGGCUGGGGCACCUCUGUACUGCAUCUGGGCUCUCAUCAUCCAGAAGGUUAGACUGGCUUCUGUACGUGGUGUUUUCAGCACAGCAUCCAGGAGCCCUAGGCCCAGAUGUCCCAUAAAGUCUCUUUCUCCCAUUUAUUCUAUCUCAAAGCAAGUCAAACACCAGCCCAGGGCUUCCAGGAAACUGCUCCUCGCUCCUUGUUGGCCCACAGACUUCAUUUGUACUCACUAGCAGAGGGAUAAGAUUACUCUUUGACUCAUCCGGCCCUCCAAGGCAGGGCAGGGAAUGGGGUCACUUACCUAAGGCACCUGGGUUGCCUGCAUGCCCGUUAGGAGGAGACAGAUCAAGCACGUAGUCACGCUGCGCUGUGUUGCUUCCCUCCGCUUCUUU